GACGAACGCUGGCGGCGUGCCUAAUACAUGCAAGUCGAACGAGAGCGACCGGUGCUUGCACUGGUCAAUCUAGUGGCGAACGGGUGAGUAACACGUGGGUAACCUGCCCAUCAGAGGGGGAUAACAUUCGGAAACGGAUGCUAAAACCGCAUAGGUCUUCGAACCGCAUGGUUUGAAGAGGAAAAGAGGCGCAAGCUUCUGCUGAUGGAUGGACCCGCGGUGCAUUAGCUAGUUGGUGAGGUAACGGCUCACCAAGGCCGUGAUGCAUAGCCGACCUGAGAGGGUGAUCGGGCACAUUGGGACUGAGACACGGCCCAUACUCCUACGGGAGGCAGUCUUAGGGAAUCUUCCGCUUGGACGCAAGUCUGACGGAGCAACUCCGCGUGAGUGAAGAAGGUUUACUGAUCGCAAAACUCUGUUAUUAGAGAAUAACAAGUGCUAGAGUAACUGUUAGCGCCUUGACGGUAUCUAACCAGAAAGCCACGGCUAACUACGUGCCAGCAGCCGCGGUAAUACGUAGGUGGCAAGCGUUGUCCGGAUUUAUUGGGCGUAAAGCGAGCGCAGGCGGUUCCUUAAGUCUGAUGUGAAAGCCUCCGGCUCAACCGGGGAGGGUCAUUGGAAACUGGGGAACUUGAGUGCAGAAGAGGAGAGUGGCAUCCAUGUGUAGCGGUGAAUGUGUAGAUAUAUGGAGGAACAGCCUAUGGCGAAGCAACUCUCUGGUCUGUUGUGACUCCUACGCUCAAAACUAGGCACGCAACAGC
rnacentral:rRNA from 1 species